rnacentral:lncRNA from 1 species
AAGCUGUGAGGCGCUCCGGACGAAUGAACUCCCUCAAGAAGGUGCACAGAGUGGUGGCGAGUCCUUUAUUUUAAUGCCAAACUUCAACUUCCUAAGUUUUCUCUUCCAUCCCUGUCUGUGAAGAAUCCGGGGAGUGUGUGAGUGCAAAUACUAGUUUUACCUGCCUGCGGCUGCCACUGCAACGCUUCCCUCUGGAUGAAAACGUCUAGUUGCAGGAAAACAGGCUGAGGGCUCCCACUGAUUCUACAUUAUGUGUUUUAAUUGACAUACUCAUGUACCUAAUCGGGUACACAGAGUGCAACAAAAGCACAUGUAAUGGACACUUAGCCCAGUAUAAGGAAGUUAGCAAAAGGUUCUCAGAAGCGGAAACCUCCAAGAUGAGACCUCAAAGCUGAGAUCUGAGAAGCCCAUCUGUAAAUGAUGAAGAAAAAACAUCAGACCCCAAGUUCUUCAGCUUUUGGACUCUUGGACUUACACCAGCGGUUUGCCAGGGGCUCUCAGGCCUUUGGCCAGAGACUAAAGGCUGCACUGUCAGCUUCCUUACUUUUGAGGUUUUGAGACUGGGACUGAUCCACCACUGGCUUCCUCGCUCCUCAACUUGCAGACGACAUAUCGUGGGAGUUUACCUCUUGAUCGAAUUCGUAAGGACCACAUUGGAUGCAGCAGAUAUAAAUGACCAGACACACAUCAAGUACACCUCAGACCACACUCAGGAUUCAGCUGCGUCCUUCUGAAUGUGAAAAGGAAGACCUGACACAAAGGGAUACAAAAUAUCAAUACCUUCCAUUCUCCCUGUGUCUCAGUCCCCUGAAUCACCAAGGGGCGAUUAGAUUCGAGAUGGCUUGAAAUAUGUUGACUGAGACACUAAUGUGGAAUUAGUAGGCCUGGAAAAGAAGAAAUAGAUCUGCAGAAAAACAUGCAAUUCUGGAUUAGUAAGCAGCUUAGAAAUAUUUAUUCAGUGCUUACUAGUCACAAACAGAAGCUAUAUGUAACUGGAGUGGAAACUUCGCACAUUUCCAGCAAGUGGACAGGAUUUAACUUAGUGACCCCAGUCUGCAGAGGGCAGCUGACCUCAAUAUUUAAUCAUAGCUCACUGGACACAACAAUGAAAUUCUAAGUAGUAAAAGAGGUACAACCAAAAAAUGAAAAGAGCUUACUCACCUACAUGAAGGCUGAGAAAAUUCUUCCAGCUCAUAGCUCAGGGAAGAAAGGUGUUUUGUCACAUGCAUUUUGAAAAGGGUACUGCAUUUGGGACACUCCCAAAUUCUGAAGUUUCUGGCUUUACACGAAUGUCUGUGGUCACACUUAGUUUCAGGAAAAGUUAACACAACUGAAAUGUAGGUUAUAAAGUCUGUAUUUUAGCAGAAGUUUUGAAAGACUUCUGCUAAAGGAGACUUCAUACAGGAAUACCUAAAGAAUCUUCUUCAGUAUUUUUUUUCUUUUCCAUCAACAAGCAAGGAUGGCCGAUUAUCUCCAAUCCUGGGCUGUGGCAUUAGAUAUGGCUCCUCAGAAGCUUAGGACCUCAGCACCUUUCUUUUUGUCUAAAUCCCUGGAAGCUUUUAAUAAUUUUGUCUUGUCCUAGCAUUGCUCAGGCAACUAACUCCAGCUGAGCAGAAGAAGAAGAACAUUUAAGCAUAACCUCUGUAAGGAAGUUUAUAGUAGACCACCCAGAGCUCGGAGCAGCCUGCCCCCUACCUUUUUCCUGAGAAAUAUAGGAAGAUUUAUAGGACUAGACAUUCAGCUUAUAAAUAGGAAAUUCACUUUGGGAAUUCCCUUGAGAUAAGCCAGGAAUGUAUUUGUCAGCCAACAUAGAAGCACUUCAGCUUUUGCCUUCGAAUACCUCAAGAACAGUAAAAAUUAACCCUGAGGAAAAGAGCACUUGUUAGUCUUGCAAAAUCCUUUCUCCCCUGUAGAAGUAUCCCUAGCAGGACCCUAGGACUGAUUGUGGGUGUGGUCACUUCCCCAGAGAUAACAGCUCCUUCACAGAAAGGAAAUGUAAGACCUCAGGUCCUUGGGAAUGCUAAUUCUCCUGAAAUCAGGUUGAUGGGUGUGCUCCCUUCCCUGGGAGGCAGUUUUGAAAUUGGCAAGGCAUUUUGUUUGUCUUAGUGAUGGGAGGUGUGGUACAGACACAAAUUCUUUGCUACUUUUUCCAUUGAAAGAUGAGGCCAGCCUGGGGCAGAGGGUCAUGGCUGUAAUCCCAGCACUUUGGGAGGCCGAAGAGGGAGGAUCACUUGAGCCCAGGAAUUAGACAACAGCCUGCGCAACGUGGUGAAACCUUGUCUCUACUAAAAAUACAAAAAAUUAACCAGGCUGUGCCUAUUGUCCCAGCUACUCGGGAGGCUGAGUUGGGAAGAACAUCUGAACCCAGGAAAUCGAGGCUGCAGUGAGCCACGAUCACACCAUGCCACGGCACUCCAGCCUGGGCAACAGGAUGAGACCUUGUCUCACACACACACACAAAAAGAAAGGGCUGGAAUCUGAGUAGCUGAGGUGCUUAUGUGACUACAUGCCUACAUCACUGACCCCCAAUAAACACCUUGGACACAAGACUCAGGCUGCUUCAUCGAUACUUUCUUAUUUUAUGUUAUGAUGCAUCAAAGUGAACUCUGAUCCCUUCAAACAGAAUCAUUGCUUUCAGAUAAAGAAACCUCAGAUCAAAUAUAAGCAUCAAAAUCUACAAAGAUUUUAGAGGGUGAAGAAACACGGAAAGAUCUCUGGUGAUGGAGCCAGCAUUGAUGAACCAAGAAAAGUCUUAAACGUGAAGAAGCCUGUGAUAAACAAGGACUGUGCCCAGGGGAAUAACAAGGAAGAAAAAUGUCAGAAGAAUUAGUUUCUCUCUAAUUGAACAAAUGUAUUUAUAUUUCCUUGUUGAUAGGCAUAGAUUCUCAAUGAGAAACUGAAACUUAUGAAGUUACAUUUAAGACUCCAGUUGUGACAAUGAUGACCAAUGCUCUUUGGUAUUACGUUUUCCAAUUCAACACAGGAAAUGAGUUGGAAUUUGUUUUGCAGUUUUUUUUUCAGCCUGUUUUGUGGAGUAUUUUUUCCUGUGAUCUGUAGAAACACAAUGAUAACAUUACGAACUUUGCCAGUCAUUGGCCCAUCAAAAAUGUUUGUAUGCUUGAAUGGGCAAGAAAUUACAUUUGAUGGAGUCCCAUGUGCCUCAUUAACUAAAUUUUUCUUUUCGGUUAUUAUUAAAGGACAGUAGGUGGCCAGGCACGAUGGCUCAUUCCUGUAAUCCCAGCAGUUCAGGAGGCCAAGGUGGGCAGAUCAUGAGGUCAGGAGACCAAGACCAUCCUGGCCAACACGGUGAAAUCCCGUCUCUACUAAAAAUACAAAAAUUAGCCAGGUGUGGUGGUGUGUGCCUGUAAUCCCAGCUACUAGGAGGCUGAGGCAGGAGAAUCUCUCUAACCAGGGAUUCGGAGGUUGCAGUGAGCCGAGAUUGCGCCACUACCCUCCAGCCAGGCAAUAGAGCGAGAGUCUGUCUCCAAAAAAAAAAGACUGUAGGUAUGAGAUCAGACGUGACUUUUAACUUUUAACUUUUAACUUUCAUGUUCUUCAUCUUCCAUUCUUGCCACAAAAAGACUGCCGUUUCCUUCUUCACAUUCAAUGUGUCUCAUGGGUCAGAGAAUCUGUGUGGUUACACUCUUAACUAGUACAGCCACUGUUCUUCGACUACUUAAACGCUCUUAUCCUUCCACUCAGUCAUCCAUUUGACCCCAUUUCCUUUAUAUUCUAUGCAGAAUUACAUGUGCAAUUAGGGUUUGUUUUCAUUAUUACUGUUAUUAUUAUAAUCACUAUUUGCCAAUUCUGUUGAUUACCCUUUCCAUUUGUUUUUCAACAAAACUCUCUCUGUACACCAACAACACUGCCUCAAUCUUUUAAUCUACCAGAAAAAAAAUUCAACUCCAUAAGCAAUUGGAUCAAUAAUAGUAGGAAUUCACAAUUUUCAGUCUCAGUGGUUUCCUUCAACAUUAAACUCCUUUUUAUUUUGAUUGUCCAUUACUUCAUAACUUUGAAAUCCUCUUUCAAUUUCUCUAAUGUAAUUUGACCAAGAUUGUGGCUCGCAAGACUGAACUUUUUUGAAAUAUGGACAUGGGGAGUCCCCACAUUUUGCUAGACUACAUCUUGGAGGGUGCUUGGAAAGCAGAAAUGGUGGGAAAUCGUUUUAUUUUCUGUUUGCAAAAGCCACUUUGCAACUUGUGGUUAUCCUAUUCUAUCACCAAGCUCCUGCCUGUAUUUACAGUGGGCUUUGAAGAACCAGCUGCUGAAAGUGAUAAAUCAGCAGCUGAAAAUGAUGAAUGCGAGACUGAUUGGAACUCAAAGUGAAAUAUAGGUGCUUGUCAACAAUGUUAGAUUGGUAACUUGAGGUGGCAAAGAGUGGUGACUGCUGGCAAAAUGUAUGAAUAUAUGUAUUAUAGUAGCAAUUAUACUUGCUUAUUUCAAUGUUUUUGAAGUCUUCUUAUUUAUAGAACAUUCUGGCUUUUUAUUUUGAGGAGCACUGCUAACAAUAAAUCAGAACCAACAUUUA